UACGAAGGGUGCGAGCGUUGUUCGGAAUUAUUGGGCGUAAAGGGCGCGUAGGCGGGUUCGUAAGUCGAUUGUGAAAGCCCUGGGCUUAACCUGGGAUGUGCAGUCGAAACUGCGAAUCUUGAAUGCCCGAGAGGAUGGCGGAAUUCCCGGUGUAGUAGUGAAAUACGUAGAUAUCGGGAAGAACACCUGAGGCGAAGGAGGCUAUCGGGCGGUGCAUUGACGAUGAGGCGCGAAAGCGUGGGGAGCAAACAGG
rnacentral:rRNA from 1 species